rnacentral:rRNA from 1 species
CCCGCUGAACUUAAGCAUAUCAAUAAGCGGAGGAAAAGAAACUAACGAGGAUUCCCCUAGUAACUGCGAGUGAAGCGGGAAAAGCUCAAAUUUCUAAUCUGACGGUCCUCGAGCGUCCGAGUUGUAAUCUAGAAAAGCGUCUUCCGCGCUGGACCGUGUACCAGUCUCCUGGAAGGGAGCAUCGCAGAGGGUGACAAUCCCGUCUCCGACCCGGACCCCCACGACUAUGUGAUGCGCUCUCGACGAGUCGAGUUGUUUGGCAAUGCUCGCUCAAAUCGGGUGGUAAACUCCGUUUAAAGCUAAAUAUUGGCGAGAGACCGAUAGCGAUCAAGUACCGCGAGGGAAGGAUGAAAAGACCUUUGGAAAGAGAGUUAAACAGUACGUGAAAUUGCUGGAAGGGAAACGAUCGAAGUCAGUCGCGUCGUCCGGAGAUCAACCUCGCUUCUCGCUGGGCGUAUUUCCCGGUCGACGGGUCAGCAUCCAUUUCCACCGUCGUAGAAGGAUAGGAGCGAAUAAGGCACUCUCCGCGAGUGUGUUAUAGCCUCCCGAACAUAUGCGAUGCUCGGGCACGAGGAGCUCGGCACGACCACCUCGAGGGUCUGGGGCUUCGGGCCGCGCGGCGCGCCCAGGAUGCUGGCAUAAUGGCCUUGAGCGACCCGUCUUGAACCACGGAAGGGGGAGUGCGCGGCCGCCUAAACUCAAUUCCCCCUCCUGAACCAC